CAACUUUUUCUUGUCACUCUGAUACUGUGGGAUGCUCAAGACAUUGUGAUAUAGUAAGUUUGGCUCAAUGUCUCUGUAGGAGCUGGUGAAGUCUCUUGCUGUAAAAGCCUUCUUCCUACAUUAAAAGCACAGUUUGAGAUGGUACAUGUUUUCACACUAAGAGUUGCUUUUGCCCCUGUCUUCAUAGGUUAUCAGCGUCAGCUGCUCUACAAACAUGAUGAUGGCUCCUACAGUGCCUUUGGGAAGUCUGACACCCAGGGCAACACAUGGCUGACAGCUUUUGUGGCCAGGUCCUUUGGGCAGGCCAGCUCUUACAUUUACAUCA